rnacentral:rRNA from 1 species
UACAGAGACUGCAAGCGUUAUUCAGAUUCACUGGGCGUAAAGGGUGCGUAGGUGGCCUAAAAAGUUUGAUGUGAAAGCUCAGGGCUUAACCCUGAAAUGGCAUUGAAUACUGUUGGGCUGGAGGUUUGGAGGGGGGACUGGAAUUCUUGGUGUAGCAGUGAAAUGCGUAGAUAUCAAGAGGAACACCAGUGGCGAAGGCGAGUCCCUGGACAACACCUGACACUGAGGCACGAAAGCUAGGGGAGCAAACAGG